rnacentral:misc_RNA from 1 species
AGAUUUUCAGAAAGUUGGAAGAAAUCAUCUUGCUGGUACACAUUUAUACACUGAAAGCCAUUCUAGAUUAGAUUACUCUACAGCUUAAUAUGAGUAAGCCUUCUUGGGACAUUUUCCCCUAAAAUACACAUGAUUCUAUUCCUAUAAGAAUUUAUUAAAAUUAACAACAAAUAUUGUAAUUACUAACUGUUGUACCCAACAUCUGAGCUUCCAUGAAAAUUUUCCAUCAAACGAAGUAUGAUUCUUUUCCUAACCCAAAUCCCUGAUGCACUAGAUGCAGCAU